rnacentral:rRNA from 1 species
GCAUAUCAAUAAGCGGAGGAAAAGAAACUAACAAGGAUUCCCUUAGUAACGGCGAGUGAAGCGGGAAGAGCUCAAAUUUGAAAUCUUCAAGGUUUUACCUUGACGAAUUGUAGUUUAAAGAAGUGUUUUCUGUUGAAGUUUUGGUAAAAGUUCUUUGGAAUAGGACAUCAUAGAGGGUGAGAAUCCCGUAUUUGACCAUUAUUUUCAGCUGUGUGAUACACUUUCAAAGAGUCGGAUUGUUUGGGAAUGCAGUCCAAAAUGGGUGGUAAAUUUCAUCUAAAGCUAAAUAUUGGCGAGAGACCGAUAGCGAACAAGUACCGUGAGGGAAAGAUGAAAAGAACUUUGAAAAGAGAGUUAAACAGUACGUGAAAUUGUCAAAAGGGAAGCGUUUGACACCAGUGUUGUUUUCUCGAAAAUCAAUUAAAAAGAGUUGGAUUUUGUGUUGUAUUGACCUUAACAGCUUGCUUCACUCUUUUCCUGCUUUUUUUAAUGCACUUUUCGUUUAACAAGUCAACAUCAGUUUCUUUUGUUGUAAAAGGGUCAUUGGAAGGUGGCUUUCUCUUCGGAGAAAGUGUUUAUAGCCUUUGAUCUCUGCAAUCGGAGAGACUGAGGUCUGCAGCGUAGAUCCUUCGGGGUUAGAUACAUUUGUGCUAAGCUACAGCUUUUCAUAGACAACUUGUUGACUAUGUUUAGUCUUGUGACUUACCCGCUUAUGCUAUUUUACCUACGCUUAGGAUGUUGACAAAAUGGUUUUAAACGACCCGUCUUGAAACACGGACC